rnacentral:rRNA from 2 species
UUUUAUGGAGAGUUUGAUCCUGGCUCAGGAUGAACGCUGGCGGCGUGCCUAAUACAUGCAAGUCGAGCGAACGGACGAGAAGCUUGCUUCUCUGAUGUUAGCGGCGGACGGGUGAGUAACACGUGGAUAACCUACCUAUAAGACUGGGAUAACUUCGGGAAAC